rnacentral:ncRNA from 2 species
GAGUGAUCCAGAGCGGAUAUACCAUCAGCCCUGUUUCGAGCUUCAUUUUCGUUAAAUUGACGGGAAAAGGAACUUGAGAACAAGGUUGAUUGGAUUCCUGUUAUGAAAUCUACUCA